GAUGGAGUGAUGGAGGGACAGAGGGAUGGAGUGAUGGAGGGACAGAGGGAUGGAGUGAUGGAGGACUAGAGGGAUGGAGUGAUGGAGGACUAGAGGGAUGGAGUGAUGGAGGACUAGAGGGAUGGAGUGAUGGAGGGACAGAGGGAUGGAGUGAUGGAGGGACAGAGGGAUGGAGUGAUGGAGGGACAGAGGGAUGGAGUGAUGGAGGGACAGAGGGAUGGAGUGAUGGAGGACUAGAGGGAUGGAGUGAUGGAGGACUAGAGGGAU
ensembl:lncRNA